rnacentral:miRNA from 1 species
GUUUCGCUAUGCAGCUCAGGCUGGGCUUGAGCUCACUUUGUAGCCCAGGCUGGCCUUGAACUCCCAACAAUUCUCCUGCCUCAGCCUCCUGAGUGCUGGGAUUACAGGCAUGCGCCACCAUGCCCG